CAAUAGCGUAUAUUUAAGUUGUUGCAGUUAAAAAGCUCGUAGUUGGAUUUCGGGUGGGACGCAGCGGUCUCGCAUUGCGUUUGUACUGCUGCAGCCCUCCUUCUUGCCGGGGGCGGCCUCUCGGACUUCACUGUCUGGGGGUCAGAAUCGGCGAUGUUACUUUGAGUAAAUUAGAGUGUUUAAAGCAAGCUUACGCUCUGAAUAUAAUAGCAUGGGAUAACACGACAGGACUCUGGCCUAUCGUGUUGGUCUAUAGGACCAGAGUAAUGAUUAAGAGGGACAGUCGGGGGCAUUCGUAUUCCGUUGUCAGAGGUGAAAUUCUUGGAUUUACGGAAGACGAACAUCUGCGAAAGCAUUUGCCAAGGAUGUUUUCAUUGA
rnacentral:rRNA from 1 species